GACGAACGCUGGCGGCGUGCUUAACACAUGCAAGUCGAACGGAAAGGCCUCUUUCGGGGGGUACUCGAGUGGCGAACGGGUGAGUAACACGUGAGUAACCUGCCCUUGACUUUGGGAUAACUUCAGGAAACUGGGGCUAAUACCGGAUAGGAGCUCCUGCUGCAUGGUGGGGGUUGGAAAGUUUCGGCGGUUGGGGAUGGACUCGCGGCUUAUCAGCUUGUUGGUGGGGUAGUGGCUUACCAAGGCUUUGACGGGUAGCCGGCCUGAGAGGGUGACCGGCCACAUUGGGACUGAGAUACGGCCCAGACUCCUACGGGAGGCAGCAGUGGGGAAUAUUGCACAAGGGGUGGAAGCCGGAUGAAGCAACGCCGUGUGCGGGAUGACGGCCUUCGGGUUGUAAACCGCUUUCGCUCAUGACGAAGCUUUGUGUGACGGUAGUGGGUAAAGAAGCACCGGCUAACUACGUG
rnacentral:rRNA from 1 species